rnacentral:lncRNA from 1 species
UCAAUAUAGCUUGGGAAAUCAUAGCCAACGAGGAAAUAAUCACCACGACCAAAUCCAGAAUUUCCUUCAAGAGAAUCCAAGAGGGGAGCAUAGUCAUAGGUGCCAAAAGCACCACUCCUUAUAAGCUGCUUGGCUUCUUCAAAACGUGGGUCUGGUUUGAACUGUUGGUAACGUAAGCAAGGUUAAUGAUAAUUCAUCCACUUGUGAGAAAUAUAUACCAGAUCAAUAAGCUAACAAUACCAACAAAUUCAAUUUAGCUAUUUGCAAGUCAAGCUCAUCUAAUAAUGGUUGUAUAUCACUUAUCUACUAGAAAAUAUCUUACCAAGCUUCGUUCAAAAGAAAGAAAGAAAGAAAAUAUCUUACCAAGCCAUUCUCUCUAUCCUUCCUCAGCCCAGCAACUUGAUCUGCCUUGGCACCAAAAAGGAAGAAAUUUUCUUGUCCCACUUCCUCUCUUAUCUCAACAUUAGCUCCAUCAAGAGUACCAAUGAUAACACAACCAUUCAGAGAGAAUUUCAUAUUACUCGUUCCACUUGCUUCCAUGCCUGCGGUACUGAUGUGCUGUGACAGUUCACUCCCAGGAAUGAGCACCUCGGCCACAGAUACAUUGUAGUUGGGAAUGAACACCACCUGAGAGGAACAAGGAGGUCCACAUUUUAAUUCAAAAUUACAAUCAAAUAUUUGUGUAAGGAUUACAAAUCUAGAUUAUCUUAAUAUUACUCACUAUAUGAUAAUGACAUUAUUUUGAAUAGAUGGUGGACAUAUAAGACUCUGAUGGCCAAUUUGAGAAGUGACAUGUUUGUUUUGGAUGCGAUAGAAUGCAAAAGUUCCAUACCUUUAGGUAUUUAUUAACAUCAGGAUCAUUGUUCACCACAGCACCAACAUCAUUUACCAAUUUUACUAUUCUUUUGGCAUUGGUGUAAGUCGCGAAUGCUUUUCCCCCUAUCAUGACAGUGCGUGGCGUAACUUUUUGUCUCUCCUCUGCACUCAUUCCCUACAAGAUUCAUAAGGCUAUUUCAGAACCGAAAUAUUGAGAACUUCCAUUUAAAUUUAGACAAGCAUGGUAUUACUGAAGAGUAUGGGGAGUCUUUAGUACCUUUAACUUCUUGUAUCUGUAAACAGCUCCCAAAAUGUUUAGCAGCUGUCUCUUGUACUCAUGAAUGCGUUUAAUUUGUAUAUCAAAAAGGCUAUUUGGGUCGAUUGUAACACCUGUCACAUCCAACACAUGCUUGGCUAGGCGUUUUUUGCUAGCCAACUUAGCUGAUGCCCACUCAGCAUGAAGCUUUUCAUCAUCUGCAAACUGUAACGCUUUCGGUUAUACUUAAGUAGUCAGAUGAGUAAUAGCAAGGAAAAAUGGUGCAAGGUUUAGAAGGAUGCACACAUACUUUCCGAAGUCCGGUAAGAAGAUCAAGGUUGCUUGUCCACUGAUCUGUUUUUAGCCAUUUUGUUACUAUUUCACUCAACUCUGGGUUGCAGAAACGGAGCCAUCUACGAGGUGUAAUUCCAUUUGUUUUGUUCUGAAAUUUGUUGGGCCAUAUAGAGAGAUAGUCUGCAAAAAGCUCUUCCUUCAAAAUGUUGCUGUGUAACUCAGCCACUCCAUUCACCUGUGGAGAGAAUUCAGCACACUUCAGUACGACCUCCUCAACUUAUAUGAGAAAGCAAAUAAUGUUGACAUACUUAAAAAAAUAGUGGGGAUCCAUAUUGAUGGUAAGAUGGUCAAGGUAGUUUCCAUUAGAAUGGACAUGAUGAAUAGUUGUGUUGUGAAAAAGGUUAUAGAACAUUGAGCAUCAAACACAAAUAACUGCACUUACCGUAUGGGCAGACACUACGCACAAAUUUGCCAUGCGCACUACUGGCUUCUGAGGAUUUGAGUUGUCUAAGAUUCUCAUGGAGUCAAUCUUUCCCUCCAUUUCCUUCCGGGUGGAGAUUACCAUUUCCUUGAACUGCAAGCCAAUUGCACUAGGUGUCAUAUUUUACCAUAACUGUAGUGUAUAAAAAGUAUGCAUACAUGUGACAUGGCACUUACCCGCUUGUCAAUUUCCUCGAUAAUUUCCAUGUGUCGUGGAAGUAAUUUCCUCAUUACAAUCUGCGACCAUUUCUCAAGGGCUUCAGGAAGAACAGUGUGAUUGGUGUAGGCAAUUGUUCUGGACCAUUCAAAUAAUUUAUUGAUUAGGUCAAGCUUUUAAGUUGAAUUACUCUUGUUAAAAUGAAAAGCGGAAAAAUAAACAAUGGUGGAAAAAGAUAAGAAAAGAGAUCAAAUUAUAUUGUCACUUGUCAUAUUAGAGCUCACUUAUUUGUGAUAUCCCAUGCUUCAUCCCAACCAAGUCCCUCCACAUCCAUGAGUAGCCUCAUCAGCUCAGGAAUCGCAAGAGUUGGGUGAGUGUCAUUCAAUUGAACAGCAACUUUUGCAGGGAACUCACUCCAUUUCCCAGAAACUCUGUCAGCUUUCCUUUCUUUAAACCUGAAAAAAAUAUCCUGCAAAUAGUUCAUUGUCAGUUAUGCUUAUGAACAGUCUUCAGUCCUUGCAGAUAUUAAAAAAAUCAAGACACUGAGAAAGCUUAGAUUAAAAAAAAACUUAAAAGUAAAAAUAAAGAGUGACCCAAAUGUUCUUGGAUUGAAAUGAUGCUCAUGAUAAUUUGUUAAAUUUAACUCUCCUUUUUUUAGAUAAAAAUAUAACUCUCCUUGAUACAACUCGGUUUAACAUUCUCCCAUUCAAGACAGAAAAGACAUAUAGAAUGUUGCAACAAUAGAUCACUACAACCAUCACUCUUUAAUGAGUAUCGCACAACAACAAUUCACAACAAAAGACUGGUGUGGACAUAGGAGGCACUGUGAUAGGUUUCUCUUACAGUAACCAUGCUUCCAAAUAAAAUUAAUUAUUACCUGAAGCGAUGCACUGCAAAGGAAAUACUGUUGCUUCAGUCUGAGAAGCUUUCCUUCUUCUGUAGCAUCACCGGGAUAGAGAACGGCACAUAUCUGCAGAGCCAUAGACAAGAGACGUCUAUCAACAUAACAUUCAUUAAGGGAAAGGAAUGGCGAGAAUAUACAAUAAAAGAUAGGAAAUAUAUAGCACAACAUUUUCUACUGUAAUUCUUAGUUAAAAUGGACCUAUAGCCACAAUUGAAAACCAUGCCAAACUACAAGACACAACUUGUGUUUUUUCAGUGACCAACUAAACUGUUUGAUUAAAGAUAUACUGUAAGCUGUUUGAUUGAGAUAUAUUCACCGUUUAGUUGUAUAUACUACAUUGAGUUAGGUUGUAUAUACUACAUUGCUGUUUCUAUUUCUUAAAAAUGACUGAUAGAUGUUUAUGUGACAAAAGAAUAAAUAUUGAUCAGCAGAAGUAUUUGCAUCAAUUAAAGGCAUCAGUCUUGAUUUAGUCCCUGCUAAUGCAACUUAAAUGCACAACUGACAAAAUCAGUUCAAGAUGAAAUGUCACCUGUUGUGCCCUAGCAUGAAGUUGAGCAGCGGACUCAUACUGGCCAUCAUUGAAUUGAAAUAAGUUAAAAUCCUCCGCACUAGCUUUUGCGUCCCAAAGACGAAGACUGAUUGCAUUUUUUGUCUUGUACCCAGGAAUUGGCACAUCAUAUGCUAAAGCAUUGAGAACUUCUCCCCCCACCCAUUUACGACUAAACAAAAGUAAACAAGCAGUUAAAAGGACAGAAAUCCUUGCAGUAAACACCAAUUUACAGGUAUGCCUGCUAUGGGGCCUGCACAAUGCAUGAUAAUUCCAAUGUACAGAAUUGCAACUAUCAUGUCUACCAAGCCAAAAAUAAGAAUUGUAUUAACCCUGUUUCUUUUAAACAGCAUGAAAUAAUAGUACUUUGAAACAAGAAUGGUGUUGGCAAAGCAUUUCUCAUGGGUUUUGGUCAUUUGAUCCAGUUGCCAAAAGAGUGAAAAGAGAAGUAGAGGUCAAGAAAAUGCGCUGAAAAGGCCUAGCAAAGCAAGCAUAAUGUUCUUUCGUUAUAUCCAAGAAUGAUCCUAGAUCUCUAAAUGGAGUUGAAGAAAAUAAAUCUGAUUCAGGCACCUUUUUUUUUUAAUAUGGAGGGCAACACAAGCUAUAUAAUGUCAUAUUUAACUAUUAGUCAACAUUUUCUAAAAAAAUGGAACUUGUACUUACGAUCCAUCUGGCAAAAUCUCAACGUGGCCAAAAAAUCUGAUUGGGUAUACAAUGUCAUGCCUGACAAUUUCCCAUGGGCUGAACUUCUGAAAGAAAUAAACAUGUGGCUCAUCAGCAGCAGCUAGAGAAACUGAUGACGAGAGAGGAACUUGUGUACAUUCCAGUUGGUACCUCAAGCCAAUCUUCAGCAAUUUCUUCCUGGCCUUCCUUGGUGAUGCAUUGUUUGAAUAGACCAUAUCGGUACCGCAGACCAUAUCCCCAAGCAGGCAAAUUUAGUGUUGCCAUCGAAUCCAAAAAGCAAGAUGCGAGCCUACCCAAGCCACCAUUUCCCAGAGCUGCAUCUUUUUCCUGAGUACAGAGCAGAACACAUGUUUAGAAAAUGGAUACGGUACAACUUCUAUGCUUUUGAACCAUACUUUAUUUUGGUUAAACAUCGGAUCAAAUCUAAUCCAUCUAACCGGAUACUUCAACUGUUUCUAAAAUAAGAAUACAUACAAGCGUUAUUCCCGUUAGAUUAUGGCACAAUCAAACAAAGCGCUAGCUAGUUUAAUAAUGACGCUAACAAGCGAUACUGUACUAAAAUAGUCUUCAGAAAAAAAAAGAGCACGUUUUAAUUUAGAAAACACUCAAAGGGAGCUCACCUGCCCGACGAGGGCCUCGAGCUCGUACCCGAACUUCUUCACGGCCUCCGCGUAGGCGCCGGUGAUGCCGAGGUUGCCGACGGCGUUGGUGAGCGCGCGGCCCUGCAGGUACUCCAUGGAGAGGUAGUACGUCUGCUUCGGAUCCGUCUUGUGGAAAUGCAAGUACGUCUCGUUCCAUCUCUGCACACACGCGGGGGAAGUAGAGAUCACACCUCUGGGCCUCUGGCCUCGGGCACGGCCGGGCGCCGCGACGAACGCUUAGGAUUCUGCGUGCUCACGAACCUGGACGAGGUGAUCGCGGACGCUCUCGGCGGUGGAGUAGAAGGCCUGCUCGGGGCCGAACGCGAGCGGCGAGAAGUGGGGGCUGUACUGCGCGUGGAAGGAGAUGUUACCGGCGAUGGCGGCCGGCUCCUCCGACGCGGGGCUGGCCGCCGGCUUCACCUUCUCCGCCGCGCCGCACGCGGCGCCGUUGCUCUCCGGCAUGGCGGGCGGGCUCCCCGGUGGGGAAUUGCGUCGAGCACUUGGUGAGUGAGUCGAUAAGGCGUCGGAGUUCGGCUCCGGGCAGAGGCACCGAAUGGAAUGGAACGGAACGGAACGGUAAGAACUCUCGGCGAGGGGGCCUUUUCUAAUGGAAGGGUGAGGUGUCACGUGACUCUCGGGGCGGACUAGAAGAAGCAACAGAUCCGAUAAAUUGGGCGUGACGAAGAAAUUUUGGAAAACGCAGAGAUAUUUUUAUUUUAAGUGGUAGAGGAGAACUGAGGGAGAGAAAACGAAGGCUCAUCGUUUGUUUUCUGGCUCCUUUGCUCUUUUCCCGGACAUAUGUAUAUUUUUGGAUGCAAGUACACCGGUUAACCUCUAAUCAAAAUGUUGAAUAUUACUCACAACAAAGAGAAAUAAAAAAUAAAUGAAUACUUCUACAUUGUAUCAGCGCGAGUGAAAAAUUGUUCCAAAAAUUUAAAACCUUGGACUAUGAAUCAAAGCUCGUCCACUUGAAAUUUUUCCAUCAUUUGUGGCUUCUUCAAGGUUUUUUCUUCAGGGGGCAUUUAGCUGUUUGUCACGUUUAGAUUUGACGUUUUUAUCACUCACAUGUCAAUAUUAGUGGACUCAGUAUGUAUUUAUAACACGUGUAUCCAGUGAUAUAUUGUUAAACACCAUGGAUAAAAGUUGCCGAUGAUGAAUUGUUAAACACCGCGAGCAAGAGUGACAAACUCUUAAAGAGAUAAUCUAAGAAAUACCACUGACAAGCGUUCAAAUCCAAAAAACACCAUCGACAGGUGUAAGUUCCAAGAAAUAUCAUCGUGCAAACAAUUUUGUCCUAAAAAUAUCAUCAUCGUUAGGGUUACUGUUUAUCUGCGUGGAAUGGACAGAAUCCUAACGAUGAUGGUAUUUUUAGGACAAAGCUGUUUGUAUGAUGGUAUUUCUUAGAACUUACACUUAUCAAUUGUAUUUUUUGGAUUUGAAGGAUUGUCAAUGAUAUUUUUUUAUUAUCUCAUUGUUAGAGAAAUAUCUCGAUCAGUGUCGCUUUUGAAGGUAAUGUGCGCGAAGAGAAAAACUAAAUACUAGUACAUCGUACCGGGGUUAGAGUGAAAAUAUGGUUCUAAAAAAAAAACCUUUGGACUAUGAAUAUGGGUUUAUUAGAGCUCAUUCACUUACUUGAUAGCUUUCAAUAGAAGCUGGGCAGCUGGCCUUUUCUCUAAAAAAAAAAAGAGCUCAUUCACUUAGGGCCUCUUUGAAUCACAUGAUUGAGAAAACAUAGAAAAAAAUAUAGGAUUUUGAUAGAAAUAUAAGUGUAGAAUAGAUGAUUGUAAAACAUAGAAAAAACACAGAAAUAACCGUUUAAUUGAACCGCGGGAAAAAUUUAGGAAUUUGAUGGGAGAGAUAGACUGAAAGAAAAGCUACCAAGAGGUUGAAGCUCUUACAAAAUUUCCUCCAAAAUUGUCCAUUCCAUAGGAAUUUCAAAAGAUUUGAUAUGAUUCAAUCUUUUGUUUCAAAUUGCUUCAUAGAAAAUGUUCCUAUAGGAUUGAAAUCUUCCAAAAUUCCUAUAUUUUUCCUCCAAAUUAAAGGGGCCUUUUCAGCUGUGUUCGGCACCCCUGUUCCCAACAUGAACAACGCGCAUGGAAAACAGAACAGUCCAUUAGCACAUGAUUAAUUAAGUAUUAACUAUUUUUUCAAAAAUGAAUUAAUUUGAUUUUUUUAAGCAACUUUCGUAUAGAAACCUUUUAAAAAAACACACCUUUUAGCGGUUUAAAAAGCGUGCGUGCGAAAAACGAGAGAGAGGUUGGAAACAAGAGGUGCCGAACACAGCCUUAAAGAUCUUCAUCAUUUCUGACUUUUUCUCUCUCUUUUUUUUCAUCACACUGCAUGUAAAUGCGUGCGAUGAAAAAUGCCUACACAGACCUACUCCCUCCAUCCUGUAAUAAACCAAUCAAGAAUAAGAAUGAGAGAUGACAUUAUGUUACGAUGAAUCUAGAGUAUAAUGGCGGCGUGGAGGGAAUAAAUGACAGGAAAAGGGCCGGGACCGUACACGUGCCACGUUGGUGGUGUCCAUCUUCGAUGAGGAUCAAUCCGGUGAGCGGCCGCCGACGAAUCGAUCCGGCAUUGCCAAUUUGGGCAGGGGCCAGGGGGGCGCUUUGGCCGGUUCCGUCAGCUUUCCUAUUUAAGUACGUUAUCUUCCUGCUCUCGGGCACCGUGCGCACUCAGAUUGUUGUCCCCUGUUCAUGGCCAUUCUACGCCCUCAGAACUCAGGAGGAGCAAUUGACGAGAUGCCGCCAUGCCGGAGAUGUGAGCCGGAAUCACCUCCGUUUUGUGAACUUGAAACUGCCUGCUGGACUGGACUCAGUCCAUGAUGUACUAGUACAAGUAUGUUUUGUUAUGGACUUAUGGUUGAGUAAAUAUUGCAUCUCGAAGACAAAAUCUCUGGAAUAUCCCAAACGCUUUUGGGUGUGUGUGUGUUGGGGGGGGGGGGGGGUCGCAUCACCGCGGGUGCAGCCGUGCAAGGUAGCAACGCUUUUGCGGACCUACGGGGCCAGCCGGGUCAUAUUCUCGCCUUUGAGGAGACGGUGACUACAGCAAGUAGCAACGCAGUGUCAGUAUCACGUCAGGUCCUUUCUUGGAGGGAGGCGGGAGGCCCUUGCUGAUCGUGCACUGAGCUAUCGUUCAUACGUACGGUGAUGCACUGAGGCAUAUGCUCGACAAAAGUUGGUUGUGAUCAGUUUUGUUUUCGGUCCGUUCAUUCUGCUGUCAAUUGAGUACGCUAAACGCCUAAACACCGGUUUGAAACUUGUCAUCAAUCUUGUGUUAUAAAAAUUUGCCGAAAAUAUGAAACAUUACUAACAUUUCUGUUCUUAUCGGCCAUGUAUCAACUCAAAUGUGCCAAACGAUAACACAAGACAUACGAUAUGCAGACAAGAUUUAGCCAAAAAAAACUACAUCCCGACUUCCCGAGCUCUGAUUAUAACUUUUCUCCCCAAUCAACGUAGCACUCUUAGCUUGUGUUCGUUUGGAUUUCGAAGAAGCUGGGACCCUUCCCUAACACGUAAAACGGAACGAUAAAUUAACACAUAAUUAAUUAAGUAUUAGCUAAAAACUUAAAAUGAUUAAUAUGUUUUUUUUAAACAACAUUUCUAUAUAAUCUUUUUUUAAAAAAAUUAAUGUUUAGUAAUUAUGGAAGUGUGCACUUAAGAAACGAGAAAUAUAGCGUAGAAUGUAGCCUUAGCCGGUAUGGGUUCAUGGCCAUACGACCAUCAUCCCGCUAUGUGUAUGUGCUACAUUUAUCAUCAGUGUUCCAGCCCACUGAGAAAGCGAGAAAGGCCCAGGGUCUUUCCGACUAGCAACGCAAGCUGCAAAUUAGCCGGUUCGGAUUCGAGCCUCACCCCCUCCUUAAUUCAAAAUCAAUCUAGUCUUUCCUAGAUUGGUCCCAUUC